UACGAACUGCGCAAACGUUGUUCGGAUUCACUGGGCGUAAAGGGUGCGUAGGUGGCGGGGUAAGUUUGAUGUGAAAUCUCCGGGCUUAACCCGGAAACUGCAUUGAAUACUAUUCUGCUCGAGGUUUGGAGGGGGGACUGGAAUUCUCGGUGUAGCAGUGAAAUGCGUAGAUAUCGAGAGGAACACCAGUGGCGAAGGCGAGUCCCUGGACAACACCUGACACUGAGGCACGAAAGCUAGGGGAGCAAACAGG
rnacentral:rRNA from 1 species